AGUGGCUGGAUACUUUCCGGAUGGACUUCGUACACCUCCCUGGGCAAGGCUGUAGAACUGCACUUACCACCUGUGUGUUCUUAACCUUUAUAAUAGUGCCUUGUGCCCAUUGUAAUUCAUGUUGCAAGAGUAUGGAAACUCUUAUGCAGCCGUUGGUUCAACUUUAAAUAUCUCACAGAGCAUCGGUGGUCUGCUGGGGAUUGUGAGCAGAGCAUCCUUUCCCAGAUGAGGAGCUUGCAAGACACGAUAGAACCUCAAGACCUCACAUGAGAAGGGCAAAUCGCUGAGCCCAUCAACCUAGUCUUAUAGGUGGAAACUGAGGCCCAGGAGGGUAGGAGAAUGGGGACUACAACCUAAGCCUCUUGAAUCACAGAGAUCAAAGUAACCAGGCUGUUUUCUUUAGGAAAGGUGUGUGUGUGUGUGUGUGUGUGUGUGUGUGUGUGUGUGUAGGGGGUGCCUACUGCGUGUACUUCAACCAGACAGAUGUUGAUCGUGCCAGGCAUCGGACUGGCGGCUGGAGAUCCAGAGAUGAAUGCCACAACCCCCAUCCCCAGGGAAUUCACAGUUGAAUGAGGGAAACAGGCAGCUAAAAUGUAGCGUAGUGAAUACAUCGUAGAGCCCCACGGCCCCACGGGGGAGGCACCUAACUCCUGGAGAAGCAGCCAACACCUCCCCGGAGGCCACGCCUCGGCUGUCUGGAAGGACGAGCAGGGGUAAAGCGCAGGACUUCCCGGCAGCUGGCAGAGGUGUCGAGAAGCAGACAAAGCGAGAAAGGAUGGGUCAGUGACUGCUGCCGGGGUCUCAGACAGCAAGAUCUCAUGUCCCCUCCCUGCCAAGGCCCAGUGGGAGGCGACCCUUCCCAAAACAGGUUUAUAUCAAGAACCACAGAUACUUCUUGGAAAUGCAUCCUCCUGGUUGGUGGUGAUCACACAGCUUCCCAAAUGAAGAGUCUUCAGCCCGGUAGAAGGAGUCCAGAGGAGGUAAAACAUAGCAGACAGAAGGCUGAA